rnacentral:rRNA from 1 species
GUGAAAUUGUUGAAAGGGAAACGCUUGACACCAGUCAUGCGAGCGGAAAAUCAGUCUUUUGCAGUGGGGAGUGUGUGUGGGUUCGGACCGCAAGGCCGGCCUGCGCUUCAUCUCUGCUGUAAGUGAUGCACUUUUUCGUUUGCAGGCCAACAUCAGUUUCUUCUGCUGGACAAAACUCUUGAGAAGGUAGCAGCUUAGGCUGUGUUAUAGCUCUUGAGCGAUACAGUGGAGGAGACUGAGGUUUUCGCAGCGCGUGCUUUCGGGCAAGGCUGAUUGGGUGCUAUGGGAUCGUUCGGUGUACAAUGCAUGCAUUUUGCGCCGUGUCUUUUCUAUACUCGCUCAACUCGGCUCUUCCGCGCUUAGGAUGUUGGCUUAAUGGUUUUAAUCGACCCGUCUUGAAACACGGACCAAGGAGUCUAACAUAUAUGCAAGUGUUUGGGUGGCAAACCCAUGCGCGUAAUGAAAGUGAACGUAGGUGCGAUCCGCAAGGUGCAGCAUCGACCGAUCUUGAUAUUUUUGGAUAGAUUUGAGUAAGAGCAUAUAUGCUGGGACCCGAAAGAUGGUGAACUAUGCCUGAAUAGGGUGAAGCCAGAGGAAACUCUGGUGGAGGCUCGUAGCGAUUCUGACGUGCAAAUCGAUCGUCAAAUUUGGGUAUAGGGGCGAAAGACUAAUCCAACCAUCUAG